rnacentral:tRNA from 2 species
CUGAGUGUGGUGCAGUGGGAGCACGUCGGUUCGGGGAACCGGAGGUCGUAGUUCAAUCCCUACCACUGAGACCA